rnacentral:rRNA from 1 species
GCCCGUCAUUUUCAAAUUAAAAAUUUUUGGAACAAGUCGUAACAUAGUUGGUGUAUUGGAAAGUGUAUCUU